GUUUCCGUAGUGUACUGGUUAUCAUAUCUUCCUAACAUGCAGAAAGUCCUGGGUUCAAAAUUUCGAAACCCUGUUGAAACU